AUUGAACGCUGGCGGCAUGCCUUACACAUGCAAGUCGAACGGUAACAGCUCUUCGGAGGCUGACGAGUGGCGAACGGGUGAGUAAUACAUCGGAACGUGCCCGAUCGUGGGGGAUAACGGAGCGAAAGCUUUGCUAAUACCGCAUACGAUCUACGGAUGAAAGCAGGGGACCCUCGGGCCUUGCGCGAACGGAGCGGCCGAUGGCAGGUUAGGGAGUUGGUGGGAUAAAAGCUUACCAAGCCGACGAUCUGUAGCUGGUCUGAGAGGACGACCAGCCACACUGGGACUGAGACACGGCCCAGACUCCUACGGGAGGCAGCAGUGGGGAAUUUUGGACAAUGGGCGAAAGCCUGAUCCAGCAAUGCCGCGUGCAGGAUGAAGGCCUUCGGGUUGUAAACUGCUUUUGUACGGAACGAAAAGUCUCGGGCUAAUACCCUGGGACCAUGACGGUACCGUAAGAAUAAGCACCGGCUAACUACGUGCCAGCCGCCGCAGUAA
rnacentral:rRNA from 1 species